GUCCGGGUGGCGGAAUGGUAGACGCGCUAGCUUGAGGUGCUAGUGCCCUGUUAGGGGCGUGGGGGUUCAAGUCCCCCCUCGGACA
rnacentral:tRNA from 2 species